AACACAACACAUACCACCCUGCAUCCCACUGUUGGCUUGCUUCUGAAGCUUAGCAGGUCAGGUCCUGGUCGGUCCCUGGAUGGGAGACCAGAUGCUGCUGGAAGUGGUGUUG
ensembl:rRNA 5S_rRNA 5S ribosomal RNA